rnacentral:rRNA from 1 species
UACGUAGGGGGCAAGCGUUGUCCGGAUUUAUUGGGCGUAAAGAGCGUGUAGGCGGUCUGGUAGGUCCGUUGUGAAAACUCGAGGCUCAACCUCGAGACGCCGAUGGAAACCAUCAGACUAGAGUCCGGAAGAGGAGAGUGGAAUUCCUGGUGUAGCGGUGAAAUGCGCAGAUAUCAGGAAGAACACCCGUGGCUAAGGCGGCUCUCUAGUACGGUACUGACGCUGAGACGCGAAAGCGUGGGGAUCAAACAGG